rnacentral:rRNA from 1 species
CAGCAGCCACGGUAAUACAGAGGGUGCGAGCGUUAAUCGGAUUUACUGGGCGUAAAGCGUGCGUAGGCGGCUUUUUAAGUCGGAUGUGAAAUCCCCGAGCUUAACUUGGGAAUUGCAUUCGAUACUGGGAAGCUAGAGUAUGGGAGAGGAUGGUAGAAUUCCAGGUGUAGCGGUGAAAUGCGUAGAGAUCUGGAGGAAUACCGAUGGCGAAGGCAGCCAUCUGGCCUAAUACUGACGCUGAGGUACGAAAGCAUGGGGAGCAAACAGGAUUAGAUACCCCGGUAGUCCCUGUCUCUUAUAC